GCAGUGUUGACCUUCAGUUUUAUGAGGUAAAGCGAAUGAUUAGGGACUCGGGGGCGCUUAUUAGCCUUCAUCCAUUCUCAAACUUUAAAUAUGUAAGAAGCCCUUGUUACUUAAUUGAACGUGGGCAUUCGAAUGUACCAACACUAGUGGGCCAUUUUUGGUAAGCAGAACUGGCGAUGCGGGAUGAACCGAACGGGGGGUUAAGGCGCCAGAAUGUACGCUCAUCAGACACCACAAAAGGCGUUAGUACAUCUUGACAGCAGGACGGUGGCCAUGGAAGUCGGAAUCCGCUAAGGACUGUGUAACAACUCACCUGCCGAAUGUACUAGCCCUGAAAAUGGAUGGCGCUCAAGCGUACUGCCCAUACCCCCCUUCAGGGUAGAAACGAUGCCCUGAAGAGUAGGCGGCCGUGGAGGUUGUG
rnacentral:rRNA from 1 species